rnacentral:tRNA from 2 species
UGGAAAGUGCCUCAAUUUGGUAGAGCACUCCGUUUUGGGCGGAGGGGUUGCGGGUUCAAAUCCUUGUCUUUCCAACCA